rnacentral:rRNA from 1 species
GACGUAGGGCGCGAGCGUUGUCCGGAUUUAUUGGGCGUAAAGAGCUCGUAGGCGGCUUGUCGCGUCGUUCGUGAAAACCUGGGGCUCAACCCCAGGCUUGCGGUCGAUACGGGCAGGCUGGAGUUCGGUAGGGGAGACUGGAAUUCUCGGUGUAGCGGUGAAAUGCGUAGAUAUCGAGAGGAACACCUGCGGCGAAGGCGGGUUGCUGGGCUGACACUGACGCUGAUGCGCGAAAGCCAGGGGAGCGAACGGG